GAAUUUGAUAUAAGUUAAGUUAAAGAUUAAUUAGUUGUGUAAUGUUAAAAAUUUAUAUUUUAUUGGGAGGAUAAGUAAAUUAGAGAAACUUUAAUUGUUAAUAGACCAUUAAUUUAUGAGUUUAGGUUUAGAGUGGCUAGAAUGUUAAGUUUAAGAAGAAUUAAUUACCUUAGGGAUAACAGCAUAAUAUUUUUAGAAAGAUCUUAUUAAUAAAAAUGAUUGU
rnacentral:rRNA from 1 species